rnacentral:snRNA from 1 species
GUUCGCUUUGGCAGAACAUAUACUAAAAUUGGAACGCUACAGAGAAGGUUAGCAUGACCCCUGCACAAGGAUGACACCCAAAUUUGUGAAGCGUUCCAUAUUAAA